rnacentral:rRNA from 1 species
UACGAAGGGGGCUAGCGUUGUUCGGAAUUACUGGGCGUAAAGCGCACGUAGGCGGACUGAUAAGUCAGGGGUGAAAUCCCGGGGCUCAACCCCGGAACUGCCUUUGAUACUGUCAGUCUAGAGUUCGAGAGAGGUGAGUGGAAUUCCGAGUGUAGAGGUGAAAUUCGUAGAUAUUCGGAGGAACACCAGUGGCGAAGGCGGCUCACUGGCUCGGUACUGACGCUGAGGUGCGAAAGCGUGGGGAGCAAACAGG